rnacentral:lncRNA from 1 species
ACACAUAACAGUAAUCAUUUUAGCUAGUUCUUCACGAUCCUUAUUUGGAUCGUAAUACAAUAUACCUCCGGUGACUGUGUUUAUUCCUGGUUGAACUUGAUUAGAACCAGUACUUGGGUUAACUGUUGUUUCAGGACUUGUCCUCCCCUCUUGUUGCGCUCUUAAUUGGAUAUAUCUAGCCUUAUCGCUAGGGUGUAAUUUUAUAUGUUUAACUAACCUACAUGUGCCGCUACAAUCUCCAGUAUACCUAUGCACAAGUAAUUUCCCACAAGAUUUACACUUAGCCUUAUUUUGUUCUCUUAGUUGAAUAAAAAAU